rnacentral:tRNA from 1 species
GGCUACGUAGCUUAGUGGCUAAAGCAGUCGCAUCAUAAGCGAAAGAUCACUGGUUCGAGUCCAGUCGUAGCCA